rnacentral:lncRNA from 1 species
UACAUUACAUUUUUAUAUCUUUUAUCUAGAGGUUUUCUGGAACCUCACAUUUCUGACUUUAAUGAUUAUUGACAAUAUUGUAUCCAAUAAAAUAAAAUUGGUUGAAUUGUUGAGUUGCAUUUUACUUGAUUCAAUGCUAGUUGCACCACUGAUUACUAUGGGAGACUAUAACAUACUUUUUAUAUAUUACUAUUGCUUAAAUCCUUUAUUAGAGCUAGUGUAUUCUGCACCACACUCAAUUCAGCAUGAACUAUUUUUUUAUAGUGCAUUUCAUAGUGUUAAUAAAAGAAGAGGGCUGUCCAUUGCAUAUUUGCUUCAUUGAUAUGAUAUUGUAUCAGCUACUGGAUAUACAUGUACAAGGAUUUGGUUGCAAAAUGAAGUUAGGGAAGUAAAAAAUCCAUGGAACUUCACACAUGCUUCUCUCACAACUAUAUUAUUAUUAUUUAUAUUAAUAUACAUGAUGUUAUGUUUGAUUUAAACUGAAUUGGC